rnacentral:misc_RNA from 1 species
UUAUUUAUUAUAUGAGAAAUAAUAAAAAAAAUUGUCAUUUAAAAUCAAGACUUUCAAUUACAAGACGCGUACGUUUUGAGUGAUUUUUAUUUGCCACCAGCUUGGGAGCUUUCUUUUCGGUCACUUAUCGCUCGCUGUUGCUCGUGUAAAUAUUUGUUUUUGUUUCACGUGCGUUGUCUCUCAGCUAUAGCGGUUAUUUUCCAUAACAAUUGCUGUUGUUGCUGUGCUUUGACCGCCAUACUUUCGUGAAUUGGCCCACUGCACCCAACUUGCAUACCAAUUAAACCCAAUCGCAGCCGGUUUCUGCUUGGGAAAGUUGUUUGAAAAGUUGUCGCUGAGGAUAUGGAUGACCGUCAAUUGAUUGGACUACCAGUAAGUUGCCCACUACCGGCUAGCCAAGUGGUUUAAUUGAGGCUCAAGUAAAUGGUAUUCAGUUCUAAGCUCACAGCGCACAUUUGUGGCAAUCAGUUGCUGCAUGUAGCUACAUCUUAACGGUUCAUUAAAGUAAAUUUCGCCAGCACUAAGUAAGUGCAGAAAAAUGGCUUUGAAAAGUAUCUUGCUUGUAGCACUCAUCCUCUGCUCACACGUCUCUUUGUCGAUGGCCGCCUCCAAUGUACCAGUGACUGAGGAGACACCGAAUGCUUUACGGCAGGACAACAUCAUCGGUUGGAUCACUUCAAUAUUUCGACCCAACAGCACAACUGCCACACCGAGCUCCACAUCACCGAGUACACCCUCACGUAAUUGCGCGACUUGUAGUUGCGGCAGCAUUAACACCUUCCAUCGCAUUGUUGGCGGCAUGGAGACGGAGGUGAAUGAAUAUCCUUGGAUGGCGAUGUUGUUGCGUCGCGGCGACUUUUACUGUGGCGGCUCGCUGAUCAACGAUCAAUAUGUACUCACAGCGGCGCAUUGUGUACGUGGCUUCAAUAAGCGGCAAGUCACCGUGCGUCUACUCUCGCACAAUCGCACCAAUGGUCGCGUUAGCACGAUCGAUCGGCAGUUGGAUCAGAUUUUUGUGCAUGAUGGUUAUAGCACUAGAAAUUUGGAUAAUGAUAUUGCUUUACUGCGUUUCACCGAACCAUUGGAGUUGCGUGAGCCGCUGCGACCAGUGUGCCUCUCCGAGUCUGAGAAGACAUAUGAAGGUGAGUUGGCUGUCGUCACUGGGUGGGGUGCAGUAAAGGAGGGCGGCUACAUUGCUGAUCGCCUGCAGGAGGUACAAGUGCCAGUCAUGUCGCAGGAGACUUGUCGCAAGAGUAAAUAUGGCGCUAAUCGCAUUACAGACAACAUGCUCUGCGCCGGUUACGCCGAAGGCGGUAAGGACUCUUGUCAGGGCGAUAGUGGUGGUCCGCUGCAUGUGAGCAAUAACGACACGAAGACUUAUCAUUUGGCUGGUGUUGUUUCUUGGGGUGAGGGUUGUGCACGACCCAAUGCACCCGGUGUCUAUACGCGCGUUUCGCAAUAUUUGGAUUGGAUUGAGCAGCGUACAGGUGAUGCGUGUAAAUGUCAACCGAUUGCGGGUGGUGCUGGUGCCGCUACUACGACAGGCAGUGAGGGCAGUACUACUCAGGCAGCAGCAGAGGGAACAACUGAAGCAGUUACCCAAAGUACAGGAGAUACCAGCGCGAGUACAGCAGCUAAUGCUGAUGAGCCAGAGAGAUUGAAAUUGUAAACUGAACUCUGAGCAGAGAGAAAAAGGAAUGAUGAAGAGCUUGCUAAACUAAAGAAAUUCAAAUGUGAAAGAAAGAGAGAAGAGAGAAAGAGACGGAAGAAGAGCGAUGAGUGCUGUGUAAGGAGUGAGAGAGCCAGUAAAGGGCGGCAAUUGACUGGAGAUUAUCUUUUGCUGGUUUUGGCAUGGAAGAGAAUAUUACAGAGGAGGACCAGUAAGAAUUGGCUCAAAUGUUUUGUGUUAAAAAAUUAUAAUUUAUUUAUUAUAUUAUUUAUUGUA